UCAUUGGAUUUUGAUCUGAUGAUGAAAGGGGCUAAGGCCUCGCCUGAGGAUGUGCCUGCGGCUGAUUAGCUAGUUGGUGAGGUAAUGGCCCACCAAGGCGACGAUCAGUAGCCGGCCUGAGAGGGUGGACGGCCACACUGGGACUGAGAUACGGCCCAGACUCCUACGGGAGGCAGCAGCUAAGAAUCUUCCGCAAUGGACGAAAGUCUGACGGAGCGACGUCGCGUGGGUGAUGAAGGCGGAAACGUUGUAAAGCCCUUUUAUCGAUGAGGAAUAAGCUUGGGAGGGAAUGCCCGAGUGAUGACGGUAGUCGGUGAAUAAGCCCCGGCUAAUUACGUGCCAGCAGCCGCGGUAACACGUAUGGGGCGAGCGUUGUUCGGAAUUAUUGGGCGUAAAGGGUAUGCAGGCGGUUUUCCAAGUCUGGUGUGUAAGACCUCAGCUUAACUGGGGGAGCGCGCUGGAAACUGGGAGACUAGAGUACAGGAAGGGGAGUUGGAAUUCCAGGUGUAGGGGUGAAAUCUGUAGAUAUCUGGAAGAACAUCAGUGGCGAAGGCGAACUCCUGGCCAUGUACUGACGCUGAGAUACGAAAGCGUGGGGAGCAAACAGGAUUAGAUACCCUGGUAGUCCACGCCGUAAACGAUGUGCACUAGGUGUUGGGGUUUUUGAUCUCAGUGCCGUAGCUAACGCGU
rnacentral:rRNA from 1 species